AAUUCCAUGGUGUGGUGGUUAUCACGUUCGUCUAACACGCGAAAGGUUGCUGGUUCGAAACCGUGUGGAAACA
rnacentral:tRNA from 1 species